rnacentral:rRNA from 1 species
CCUACGGGUGGCAGCAGUGAGGAAUAUUGGUCAAUGGGCGCGAGCCUGAACCAGCAAUGCAGCGUGAAGGAUGACUGCCCUACGGGUUGUAAGCUUCUUUUAUAAAGGAAUAAAGUGAGGCAAGGGUGCCUUUUUGUAUGUACUUUAUGAAUAAGGAUCGGCUAACUCCGUGCCAGCAGCCGCGGUAAUACGGAGGAUCCGAGCGUUAUCCGGAUUUAUUGGGUUUAAAGGGAGCGUAGAUGGGCUGUUAAGUCAGUUGUGAAAGUUUGCGGCUCAACCGUAAAAGUGCAAGUGAUACUGGCAGUCAUGAGUACAGUUGAGGUAGGCGGAAUUCGUGGGGUAGCGGUGAAAUGCUUAG